rnacentral:rRNA from 1 species
UUACGGCUCAGUAACACGUAGCUAACCUACCCUUAGGACGUGGACAACCCCGAGAAAUUGGGGCUAAUCCCCGAUAGGUGUGAUGUCCUGGAAUGGUAUCACGCCCAAAGGUAUCAACAGCAUGUUGUUUUUACGCCUAAGGAUGAGGCUGCGGCCGAUCAGGCAGUUGGUGAGGUAAAGGCUCACCAAACCUUUGACCGGUAUGGGCCAUGAGAGUGGUAGCCCGGAGAUGGACACUGAGACAAGGGUCCAGGCCCUACGGGGCGCAGCAGGCGCGAAACCUCCUCAAUGCACUCAGGUGCGAAGGGGUUACCUCGAGUGCCAUCUGAAGAAGGUGGCUUUUCCUUGGUCUAAAUAGCCUUGGGAAUAAGAGGGGGGCAAGACUGGUGUCAGCCGCCGCGGUAACACCAGCCCCUCGAGUGGUGGGGAUGAUUAUUUGGCCUAAAGCGUCCGUAGCCGGCCGAGUAAGUUUCCCGUUAAAUCCAGCGUCUCAAGCGUUGGGCUGCGGGAAAUACUGCCCGGCUAGAGAGUGGGAGAGGUAAGCGGUAUUCUGGGGGUAGGGGCGAAAUCCUUUGAUCCCCGGAGGACCACCAGUGGCGAAGGCUGCUUACUAGAACACGUCUGACGGUCAGGGACGAAAGCUGGGGUAGCGAACCGGAUUAGAUACCCGGGUAGUCCCAGCCGUAAACGAUGCACGCUGGGUGUUGGGUCGGCCACGAGCCGCCCCAGUGCCGCAGGGAAGCCGUUAAGCGUGCCGCCUGGGAAGUACGGCCGCAAGGCUGAAACUUAAAGGAAUUGGCGGGGGAGCACAAU